rnacentral:lncRNA from 1 species
CUCAUAUUUUCUACUGGCCUGGAAGGGAUUGAUAGUAGAGCAAUGGUGAAGGUAAUGCAGGGACACCUUGACAGAGCAGAUUACAGGGAAACAUUACAAUAGCAGAUUCGCGUGCAUCUCGGUGUUAUUUCGAGUGUACAACAUAUUAAUACAAUGCCCUUUUGUAUUUAAGUGUAGGUGCUAGCAUUUCAAGCAAUGUCAUUUUUUU